GGUUGUAGCUCAAUGGUAGAGCGCUUGCCUAGCAUGUGUGAGGCACUGUGUUCAAUCCUCAGCACCA
rnacentral:tRNA from 1 species